GACGAACGCUGGCGGCGUGCUUAACACAUGCAAUUCGAACGGAAAGGCCCUGCUUUUGUGGGGUGCUCGAGUGGCGAACGGGUGAGUAACACGUGAGUAACCUGCCCUUGACUUUGGGAUAACUUCAGGAAACUGGGGCUAAUACCGGAUAGGAGCUCCUGCUGCAUGGUGGGGGUUGGAAAGUUUCGGCGGUUGGGGAUGGACUCGCGGCUUAUCAGCUUGUUGGUGGGGUAGUGGCUUACCAAGGCUUUGACGGGUAGCCGGCCUGAGAGGGUGACCGGCCACAUUGGGACUGAGAUACGGCCCAGACUCCUACGGGAGGCAGCAGUGGGGAAUAUUGCACAAUGGGCGGAAGCCUGAUGCAGCAACGCCGCGUGCGGGAUGACGGCCUUCGGGUUGUAAACCGCUUUCGCCUGUGACGAAGCGUGAGUGACGGUAAUGGGUAAAGAAGCACCGGCUAACUACGUGCCAGCAGCCGCGGUGAUACGUAGGGUGCGAGCGUUGUCCGGAUUUAUUGGGCGUAAAGGGCUCGUAGGUGGUUGAUCGCGUCGGAAGUGUAAUCUUGGGGCUUAACCCUGAGCGUGCUUUCGAUACGGGUUGACUUGAGGAAGGUAGGGGAGAAUGGAAUUCCUGGUGGAGCGGUGGAAUGCGCAGAUAUCAGGAGGAACACCAGUGGCGAAGGCGGUUCUCUGGGCCUUUCCUGACGCUGAGGAGCGAAAGCGUGGGGAGCGAACAGGCUUAGAUACCCUGGUAGUCCACGCUGUAAACGGUGGGUACUAGGUGUGGGGUCCAUUCCACGGGUUCCGUGCCGUAGCUAACGCUUUAAGUACCCCGCCUGGGGAGUACGGCCGCAAGGCUAAAACUCAAAGGAAUUGACGGGGCCCCGCACAAGCGGCGGAGCAUGCGGAUUAAUUCGAUGCAACGCGUAGAACCUUACCUGGGUUUGACGUGGAUCGGGAGUGCUCAGAGAUGGGUGUGCCUCUUUUGGGGUCGGUUCACAGGUGGUGCAUGGCUGUCGUCAGCUCGUGUCGUGAGAUGUUGGGUUAAGUCCCGCAACGAGCGCAACCCUUGUUCACUGUUGCCAGCACGUUAUGGUGGGGACUCAGUGGAGGCCGCCGGGGUCAACUCGGAGGAAGGUGGGGAUGACGUCAAGUCAUCAUGCCCCUUAUGUCCAGGGCUUCACGCAUGCUACAAUGGCUGGUACAGAGAGUGGCGAGCCUGUGAGGGUGAGCGAAUCUCGGAAAGUCGGUCUCAGUUCGGAUUGGGGUCUGCAACUCGACCUCAUGAAGUCGGAGUCGCUAGUAAUCGCAGAUCAGCAACGCUGCGGUGAAUACGUUCCCGGGGCU
rnacentral:rRNA from 1 species